ACUACUAAACCCUAAUUCCUUUACUCCCUAUUUAAACCACUCAACUCCUCUUCUCUUCCUCAGAUUUCCGCCUCCAAAGCUUUCCUUAUCAUCUGUCCCUGGUUUUCCGCUUCUCUUCUCCUUCUAUACUAAUACAUUUUUAAUUUGCUGCGCCUGUUCAAUUGAUUCUUUUGAUCAUCUCUAAAUAGCUCCUGCAAAUUUCCAUGUUAUGUUAUGCUUUUAUUUUGGUUGCAUCUGUUUACCCUCUCCUUUUGUAGCAAAAAUAGGAAAAAAUGCCAAAGGAGAUAUAACAGAUGCAAACAAUAAAAGGUUAGCUUACCAGCCCGUUGCAUUUCAUUUCUUUGCCUUGGUGUUAAAUGGACUUACCGACAUAUUUUUUCAUUUCGCUGAAAAAAAAUUGUUGAUUUUUGCUAUGUUUAUAGAUUCUACAACUAAAAGCUUUUUAAUGAUGGCAAAGGAUGAAUGUUUAUCUUAUCCUACACUCUGAUGAACCGUGUAGAUUCUAAUUUUCGCUUAUUGAUAUUCUGAUGCUUUUUUUUGUUUUAAUUUAUUUUUAAAGUGAAGGCAAAUGAUGUGAAAGUUUCUUAUCCUACACACUGAAUUAUGUAUGUAGACUAUUAAACUCCGCUUAUUAUCUGAUGCCUUUGCUUUUUUGCCCUUUUUUUGUUUACGAAGUCUUUGAAAAGUGAAGAGUUGUUUGAAAUUUUCUAUGAUGAGAAGAAGCAGACGGGCGGUCUGAAUCUGAUGCCAUGUUUGAUGAAGUUGCUUCAAUUAUGUCUGGACAUAUGAACUCAGCUUAUGAUUAGCUACGCAUCUUCUGAGCAUUACUGUAUAUUUGUCAAUAAACUGUAUAUUCAAAUGUAUGAAAUAUUGAGAGUAUACCCACCUGUAUCAAGAAAUUCAUACAAUAUUAUUAUCCACGGGUUUGAAAGGAGAACGGCAGUUUGGGCAGAUGUUUCUCCUUAGAAACCAAAGAUCAAUACAUUGUGUAUGGAAUAUGUGACUACAAACAGGCAAAAUCCUUCAUCGUUCCCCGACCUGAAAACCAUUCAGGCAGACGCCGCACAUCAUUGUCGUUGCUGAAGCUUAAUUUUCUUGAGAAUAAUAGAACCUAGGGAGUUGCUCUAUCUCUUCCAUGGACAAACCUGAUUCAUUGUCUUCUUUGCUGCUUUCUUUGUCAUUGGAGAGUAGGUAAAAUAUUACUAGAUAAAUCAUAACAAGGAUCGUAAUUCCCAGAAAGGGAGAUGGGAGAGAAGGAAGCAUUUCCAGGGAUGAAUAAGUUUUGGAGAGGAUUUAAAGCCUGAAAUUGGCAUGUAAAACGUUGAUUGGGUUUUUAUGCCUUAAGCUAAGUUUGACUUGAAAUUGAAUAAGAAUAAUCACGUUCCUUUGCCUUGAGAUUUA